GACUUUUUCCUUCAAAGGUAGUGCCCGGUGGCCGCGUCGACCACUGGGCACUGCCUUUGAAGGAAAAAGUCA
rnacentral:pre_miRNA from 1 species